rnacentral:rRNA from 1 species
AUUGAACGCUGGCGGCAUGCCUAACACAUGCAAGUCGAACGGUAACAGGUCUUCGGAUGCUGACGAGUGGCGGACGGGUGAGUAAUGCGUAGGAAUCUGUCUUUUAGUGGGGGACAACCCAGGGAAACUUGGGCUAAUACCGCAUGAGCCCUGAGGGGGAAAGCGGGGGAUCUUCGGACCUCGCGCUAAGAGAGGAGCCUACGUCCGAUUAGCUAGUUGGCGGGGUAAAGGCCCACCAAGGCGACGAUCGGUAGCUGGUCUGAGAGGACGACCAGCCACACUGGGACUGAGACACGGCCCAGACUCCUACGGGAGGCAGCAGUGGGGAAUUUUUCGCAAUGGGGGCAACCCUGACGAAGCAAUGCCGCGUGGAUGAAGAAGGCCUUCGGGUUGUAAAGUCCUUUCGUGGAGGACGAAAAGGUGGGUUCUAAUACAAUCUGCUAUUGACGUGAAUCCAAGAAGAAGCACCGGCUAACUCCGUGCCAGCAGCCGCGGUAAUACGGGGGGUGCAAGCGUUAAUCGGAAUCACUGGGCGUAAAGGGUGCGUAGGCGGUACGUUAGGUCUGUCGUGAAAUCCCCGGGCUCAACCUGGGAAUGGCG